rnacentral:lncRNA from 1 species
CGUCUUACUUCUGAGAAGAUCAAGUUAUUUUAUUUAUUUUCGAAGAAACAAAUAUCGUUCGAAUAAACAGGAAAAUAAAAAAUUCACAGUACUUUAAUUAAACUUGAACAACGUAUUUAUAUUUAGCUGUUUUUUGAUGUAUUUCAAUCUCAAAUUUCAAUGUCCAAUAACUAUCUGCAAUAAUUAUUUGGGUAAACACUAACGAAGGGUGUUAAUAGAAAUAUAUAUAUGUGGUAUGAUGACUAGUGCGAAUGAGACAUCUAUCCAUCCAAGUUAUAAUGUGUAAAUUUGUUCUAAAAAGUAAACAAUUAUAGGUCAACGAAUGGCUUUCAACACGGAAUUUUGACUCACACCCAAAAUCAAUCUGUAACGGGCACCACAAUGGCCAGUAUAAAACAAUCAAACAGUAAAACCAAUGGUAUAUUCCAUAUAAAAAAACGAGCAAAGAGAAACACUUAUGAACCACAUCAAUAAACAACACCCACUGAAAAAAGGUCGGUUUAGACGUUUAAACAGGAUCUAACAUUCACCAUAAACUGACACAGUUGACUGUAGUGAAACAUAGAAAGACGCACUGAAAAAUACUAAUUACUAUUAAGACGGUUAUCCGCGAUAAAAAAAAUGUCCCCCUUGUAUCUUAUAUUAACAAAAAAAACAUACACUUUACGAG